rnacentral:rRNA from 1 species
UACGUAGGGUGCAAGCGUUAAUCGGAAUUACUGGGCGUAAAGCGUGCGCAGGCGGUUCUAUAAGACAGAUGUGAAAUCCCCGGGCUCAACCUGGGAACUGCAUUUGUGACUGUAGAGCUGGAGUACGGCAGAGGGGGAUGGGAAUUCCGCGUGUAGCAGUGAAAUGCGUAGAUAUCUGGAGGAACACCGGUGGCGAAGGCGGCGUUCUGGACUGCAACUGACACUGAGGAACGAAAGCCAGGGGAGCAAACGGG